rnacentral:lncRNA from 1 species
AACAUGAGUUAAUAUUUUCAUCGGAGUUACUCAGAAUGCAUCAUGUUUGCUCACUUUCAUAAUUUUGGCAUCCCUACUGGGCAAUCCCAAGAUAAAAGAUGGUGGGAAGUGCAAAAGAGAGUGUUCUUCAGAAAAACACAAAAGUUCCUCAGGCUUGCUCAGAACGCAUCAGCUUCCAUCGUUUGCAUCAAAAACAAUCAUGAUUGCUUGCAGGUCUCUCUAAACAGCUGUCACUUUUCUGCCGAAAACAAUCGGAGCCAUCGCAGCAGCUUGUUGACUUUUGAUCGGUGAUUAAUUCAGGGCAGGAGUUGCAUAUUCCAAUAAUCCCAGUGCUUGCAUAUAUGUGAAAGCCGCGUAAGACAAUCGCGACGUUGCACAACUUUACCGCUUCAUCCUCGGCCACCGAUAGUAAACAUCUGCACCGUUCUGAAAUUUCGUUCCUUACCACCGCCCACUACUCAUUCGACAACGAAUAAGGCACUAUGUAUAUUGUGAACAUAUAAGGCUGUUUAAAAUCCUUUAACCAAUAUCGGGGCAAUAACACUAGAUCAUCAGUUUUAUCCACUAUUGCUGCGGAUCUACUAAUGGACGAAAACAAUGAGGAACAAAAUCGUCAAGUGGACAGAAAAUACUCGAAGCGGAUUCAGCAUACAACCAACAAUACAUAAUCAAAGAGGUCCGAUUUGACAAAACUCGCCAAAUCGUCAGCAAGGCCAGGGCCACUAAGCUGGAUCAUUCGUUAGUUGAUUGUUCUUCAACUCGGAAGCGGAAAAGGACAAGUUUACUUGUGUAAAGUGUACAUCGAUUGAGCCAUACAGGAAAAGCUCUUGCGACAUCAAAAAUAUCGAAAUUCGACACGAAACCUCUCGAACUCGACAAUUCUUGUUAGCUGAGCUAAAGCAAUGCAUCGAGAAAUUUAUUCAAGAUAACCACAUCACUCCAGUAGGACACCUACAUGGUAAAACCAGUAACGCAGAUGUUGGACACUAGAUCGUUAGCUUCCAAACAAUCCAAGUAUGAAGCUGAAGACGACGUCAUCGUGAAGGCUGACCUAGGCACAAUUUAUACGCUAUUGGAAUUGAUCCUGAAUAAAACAUUCAAUGAAGUGCAGCAGUAAAUGGCCGUGUUGAUUGUGGCCGAUGAUAUACCGAGAGAUAAAACCGUGACGUGUGAACAAACGAUGUACAAUCAACUCUCCCUAACUCGAUAUUGAAGGGACCUUCGAGUUAGGGAGGUAUCGAGUUACAGAACACAAAACAAGUGCAACUGCGAUCCAAGGGACCAUCGAGUUAGCCAUGAAAACCAACUUUUACUAUGGUUCUCAAACUCGAUAUCGAGAUACGGAAUAUCGAGUAAGGGAGAGUCAACUGUAUUUACUUUUCGAAGACAUAGCGCAAUUAACAUCUUUUCUAACGUAUCAGAGCUGGUCUUUUUUCAGCGAUAAUUGUGAAAUGUAUAAUUGUUCAAGAAACAUGCUGUUUACUUUUCAGAAUUUUUAUUUGAAUUUUAAAAUAAAAUAAACAAUUAUUGCACGUUAAAAUCUUACAUAAUAAAAGUUGGCGAUUAAAAGCAAGCAUCGACUAACAACAUUUGAUGAAUAAAA